CCUACGUGAGGCAGCAGUGAGUCAUAUUGGUCAAUGGGCGCGAGCCUGAACCAGCCAAGUAGCGUGAAGGAUGACUGCCCUACGGGUUGUAAACUUCUUUUAUAAAGGAAUAAAGUGAGGCACGUGUGCCUUUUUGUAUGUACUUUAUGAAUAAGGAUCGGCUAACUCCGUGCCAGCAGCCGCGGUAAUACGGAGGAUCCGAGCGUUAUCCGGAUUUAUUGGGUUUAAAGGGAGCGUAGAUGGGUUGUUAAGUCAGUUGUGAAAGUUUGCGGCUCAACCGUAAAAUUGCAAUUGAUACUGGCAGUCUUGAGUACAGUUGAGGUAGGCGGAAUUCGUGGUGUAGCGGUGAAAUGCUUAGAUAUCACGAAGAACUCCGAUUGCGAAGGCAGCUUACUAAACUGCCACUGACAUUGAUGCUCGAAAGUGUGGGUAUCAAACAGGAUUAGAUACCCUGGUAGUC
rnacentral:rRNA from 1 species